AACGCACAUUGCGCCCAUUAGUAUUCUAGUGGGCAUGCCUGUUCGAGCGUCAUUUCAACCCUUAAGCCUAGCUUAGUGUUGGGAAUCUGCUGUAUGGCAGUUCCUCAAAUACAACGGCGGAUCUGUAACAUCCUCUGAGCGUAGUAAAUUUUUAUCUCGCUUUUGUUAGGUGUUGCAGCUCUCAGCCGCUAAACCCCCCAAUUUUUGUGGUUGACCUCGGAUCAGGUAGGAAUACCCGCUGAACUUAA
rnacentral:misc_RNA from 1 species